GCCAGUAUGGUGAUAUGAGCCUCGGUUUGUAACCGAGUGGGUUCGGGUUCGAAUCCCGAGUAAGGCA